AACGAACGCUGGCGGCAGGCUUAACACAUGCAAGUCGAACGCACAUUUCGGGGUGAGUGGCAGACGGGGGAGUAACGCGUGGGAAUCUACCCUUCUCUACGGGAUAGCUCCGGGAAACUGGAAUUAAUACCGUAUACGUCCUGAGGGAGAAAGAUUUAUCGGGGAAGGAUGAGCCCGCGUUGGAUUAGCUAGUUGGUGGGGUAAAGGCCUACCAAGGCGACGAUCCAUAGCUGGUCUAAGAGGAUGAUCAGCCACAUUGGGACUGAGACACGGCCCAAACUCCUACGGGAGGCAGCAGUGGGGAAUAUUGGACAAUGGGCGCAAGCCUGAUCCAGCCAUGCCGCGUGAGUGAUGAAGGCCCUAGGGUUGUAAAGCUCUUUCAGUGGGGACGAUAAUGACGGUACCCACAGAAGAAGCCCCGGCUAACUUCGUG
rnacentral:rRNA from 1 species